CUCAGGCCCCCUGUCCCGGAAGGUUUUCAUACCCUUCCCCUGGUGAGGAAGGACCCCCCCCCCAACAUUCCAGGCGCCCCAUGGGCUGUCCGGGGCCUGGCACGCACCCAGAGCUGCAGUCGGGGUGAACUCUAAUGUGGGUCCCGGGUGUAUGUGGUGGGCGCUGGGGGUGGGUUGGAGGCUCCAGUCUCAAAGUCGGGACGCGGCCUGGCGACUGCUAGGUUGUCUGGGAUGCAGAUCUGGUGGGUGGGUGUAGGCAGUGUUUGGAUGGACAGCAGGAAAUCAAGGACCCCAGAAAGGGAGGGCCGAGAGGGGGAGACUGGUGAUGCCCGUCUGUCUGAGGGUUCCGGGGCCGGUUCCAGUUAAGUUGGGGGGCGGGCCAUUGGGGGGUUCAGACCGGGAGUACUAAUUCAAUGGGGGGGUCGCGCAGGCAUAGCAGACCCUCCGCGGAGAAUUGGGGGACAGAUCAGCAUCUGGGACGCCAGAUGACUCAGACACACCAGUGGGGGAGACAAUAUAACGGUUCUGCAGAAGACUCAUGUGAGGCUCUGAGGUCCCAGGUUCAAUCCCCAGCUGGUACCAUCAUAAGCCAGAGCCCCGGCACAAGGCAGGUACCUGCUCCACAGCAGGCAGGGGAAGCGGGCACCAGAUCCUGGGGUCUGGAACACCCCCCCCCCACAGCGGCACUCACGGCGUUAUCGGGAUGGAAGACAUAGGAGGCGGGCGAGUUGU